rnacentral:tRNA from 2 species
GGGGCUGUGGCGCAGUUGGUAGCGCACCUCCAUGGCAUGGAGGGGGUCAGGGGUUCGAAUCCCCUCAGCUCCACCA